UGCAUAGAGAAUUAGUUUUGGUGUGUGAGUGUGUGUGUGCUGCCACUCUCCUCCCUCUCUCCCUCUCUCUCUCUCCCUCUCUCUCUCUCUCUCUCUCCCUCUCUGUCCUCAUACUGAUCACACAGCUUUGAUUCUCUGGCUCUCAGUAAACAGCUGAGACUCCCACCUUUUUUUUUUCCCUUUUGCUUUGGACAAGAGAAAACAGAUCGUCUGGAGCUACAAACCUGGGGCACAGUGACAUGCACCUGUACCCCCCUCCUACUACUAGCAGGUGUGACAAUUUGAAAUCUGCCCAGUAGGUGGGACUUGGUGACUUUAGCACCCGAUUUUUUUGUUCACUGUCUCCCCCAUCUUCUGUUGCAUUCCUCAGAAGUCUUAUAGUUCUCCUGGAAAAAAAAAAAAAGGCAAUCUGGAA